AACGAACGCUGGCGGCAUGCCUAACACAUGCAAGCCGAACGAGAUCUUCGGGUCUAGUGGCGCACGGGUGCGUAACGCGUGGGAAUCUGCCCUUUGGUUCGGAAUAACAGUCGGAAACGACCGCUAAUACCGGAUGAUGACGAAAGUCCAAAGAUUUAUCGCCAGAGGAUGAGCCCGCGUAGGACUAGCUAGUUGGUGUGGUAAAGGCGCACCAAGGCGACGAUCCUUAGCUGGUCUGAGAGGAUGAUCAGCCACACUGGGACUGGGACAUGGCCCAGACUCCUACGGGAGGCAGCAGUGGGGAAUAUUGGACAAUGGGCGAAAGCCUGAUCCAGCAAUGCCGCGUGAGUGAUGAAGGCCUUAGGGUUGUAAAGCUCUUUUACCCGGGAUGAUAAUGACAGUACCGGGAGAAUAAGCUCCGGCUAACUCCGUGCCAGCCGCCGCUGUAA
rnacentral:rRNA from 1 species